CUCGCUGUGCUACUUCAGGUUCCACAAACAAAGAUGCUCUUAGCAACCGGUAUCUCUUCUCCUGUUCACCUGGCUCUGGGCCUCUGGGUGUGUAAGGGACUUUCCUUGUUUCAUGCCUUAGUGAGUUAAUUCGUAUUUAAAAAAUGGAGUCAAGCGGACUCAAGUGCUGGAAGAGAGGCCAAAGAGCAUCCAAUUUGGCAGGUCCCAAGCUCAGCUCUGUGUCAACUGACCUGAGUAGUUCACUGCCCAAACCCAGUCCCCACCCUCCGCCCCCAAGAGCAGGGCAGAUGACAUGUCCAGCUCCCUGCUCCUCUCGGACGCUGCCCUGAUGAAGGCUCUGCGAGCGGCGGCAGGUGAAGGAGAGAGGGAGGAAGGGAACCCGGACGACAGCAUGGAAUCAAGAAAAUCGAAGGAAAAGGGAAAGCAGGUCAGUGCAGGAAAAGCGACGGAUGGCAGGUAGCCACUCAAACCUCCCAUCUAUAAAGCACACCGCAUUUUAUAAAGUUCUUUCCUUUCCAUGAGCUUCAUCUGCUUGCCUUCAGGCCAAAGAUCAAGAUGCAGGAAGAGAAUAAUAAAAGUCAGGCAGUUCUUGACUAGCUGCCGUUCUAUCACAUUAACCAACUGCUUUCGUUCUUGUUUCCAAAUACGUGCUUUUGCUCUGAGGUAUAAUUUUAAAUAUAUAUUUGAAACCCGGUAUGCCUGGUGGCCUUAAAUGAAACUGAAAGAAAUCAAUGCAAUCUUUGGAAAUGAGAAAACGUGUUUGGGAAAGCAUUCAAUAUUUUAUGGCUCAUCAACUCAUUCUGAUGCAAGUCUGAACAAGAAUCCCCAAAAUAGGCAAUUCAGAUCCACCACCAUCUACAAAGCUGCUAGUCAAGGUUCUGAAGGGUGCACACUUUCUGAAGAAAUGCAUCUUUCUCUCUGAACUCAGAGACGAAGUAUCGGAGCAAUGUACUGUAGAAGCCCACAGAUGCAGGGAAGAGUCUGCCUGAGGUUGGCUCCAGUCUCACUGCUGAGGUUCUGGAGGAUCCUUCCUUCUAGCCUUUGGGAGACUCACCAAAACUACCAGUGACAUUCGUCCAAGGACCACUCAGCAGGGCUAGUACCCUCACCUGAAGCAUAGGGGGUGGCUCCCAACCAGGGUGACCAGGUGUCCAAAGCCAGAAGUCCUAAAAGCUGGGGCUACAAGACCAAGCACAUCACCUACAGUGUUAGCUCGAUGUUCCAGAACAUCACACAUCCAUACCAAAACAAUUCAUGCCGCCUUGGGUUAUGAGUUGAAUCGUGUGUCCCCAGUUUUCCUACGUUGUUGGAGUCCUAACUCCCAGGACCUCAGAAUGUGACUGUGUCUGGAGAUAAGGCCUUCAAAGGAGUCAUCAGGUUAAAAGGAGUAAUUUGCGUGGGCCCUAACCCAAUACGAUUGUUAUAAGAAGAGAAGGUUAGGACAAAGACACAGAAGGAAGAUGCUGUGAGGACAGAGGGAGAAGCAAGCCAUCUGUAAGCCGAGGACAGAAGCCUCAGAAGACACCUUGGUCUUAGAUUCCUGCCUCCAGAAUUGUGAGAAAAUAAAUUUCUGAUGUUCAAGCCA